CCGGCCCCGGCGCUCUCCGCGGUGCUGAACGGCUCCGCUGAGCUCGCAGGACGCGCCGCCGGCGGGGCCCGGCCCGGCCCGGAGCGGCUCGGCCCGGCCCCGAGCGGCCGCGGGGGAUGGAGCCCUUCCUCGGCUGCACCGGUGCAGCGCUCCUGCUCUGCUUCAGCUACGCCGGACUGCGCCCGGUGGAGGCAGACAGCCCGUCGGCUCCAGUAAAUGUCACAGUCAAACACCUGAAAGCCAACUCGGCCGUUGUGACUUGGGAUGUCCUGGAAGACGAAGUUGUCAUUGGAUUUGCGAUUUCCCAGCAGAAGAAGGACGUGCGGAUGCUGCGCUUCAUCCAGGAGGUGAACACCACCACCCGCUCCUGUGCCCUCUGGGACCUAGAGGAGGACACUGAGUACAUUGUGCACGUCCAGUCCAUCAGCAUCCAAGGCCAGAGCCCUGCCAGUGAGCCAGUCCUCUUCAAGACCCCCAGGGAAGCUGAGAAACUAGCCUCUAAAAAUAAAGAUGAGGUGACGAUGAAGGAGAUGGCGAAGAAAAACCAACAGCUGCGAGCGGGGGAAAUUCUCAUCAUCGUUGUGGUGUUGUUUAUGUGGGCAGGGGUGAUCGCCCUGUUCUGCAGACAGUACGACAUCAUCAAAGAUAACGAGCCCAACAACAGCAAGGAGAAAGCCAAGAGCGCCUCUGAGAACAGCACCCCGGAGCACCAGGGAGGGGGGCUCCUGCGCAGCAAGUUUCCAAAAAACAAGCCCUCAGUGAAUAUCAUCGAAGCAUGACAGGCCUGUCACCCGACCGAUGGACUCCAUCCCUCACUCUCACUUUCUGCCUCCGAGCCGUGAUGACUGGGGAGGUGAAACAUUGUCAGAGCAACCUGGAAAGAGACCCAGUGAUUGUCACCUGCUGGCAGACACCUCCUCGCCUGUGUCCUGCCAAACAUCUGGCCAGGAAGGAGAAUCCUUCAGAGAAUCCUUGGCACCCAAAGAAGAUGGAAAAGCAGCGGUGCUGACCCGGACUCGUGGAUCAGCUGGGCUGGAGCAACGAAUCACACGCUCCUUUCCACCCUCACACUCCACCUUCUGGGACGACUUUCCUGUCUUUGGGAACGUGCGAGGUUCUGUUGUGUCUUUGUUCGGUCUCACUGUCGCUCCAUCCUGGCAGAAUUCCCGGGAGCUCAGGCACCAACCAGGCACCGACACCCCCCUCCGAGCAGGGAUGGAGGGAAUCUCAUCCCAAUCACCACCAACCAGCCCAAUUCUGGCUGCUGUGCGCUCUCGCCUCGCUUUGCUCAUCGAUGUUGUGUGGUGUAACACGUCCUGCCAGGUGGGAUCCCUGGUGCUCUGGAAGCUGGUAGAUGCAGGACCAUCACGUGGACAAGAUUUCCUCUCUGUAGUGUGCCAUGGGGUAUCUGUAUUUAUUUAAUUACUCCACGAGACCACUCCAUAUGCACUAGGGGAUGAGGCAGGAUCCUCCUUGUUCCAUCCAAUGCCAAGACAGGUUGGCCUGGGUAGGGUUUGGAUCUCAAACCACGAGCCUGCUCUCUCAGAUGAGCCUGGGUUUGGAAGUCCCUGCAAGGCAACAGGUUGGCAGGAAGGACUUGAGCCAUCUCCCCUCUUCCACUGGCACCAGCCUUUCCAAAAGAGCUGGUCUGGGAGAAAGGCACAGGGAAGUUUGCUGUUGAACAAGCAGGGGCUUCCCUCGUGCUGGUUUCAGAAGACAGGCCAACCCCAAAGGUGUCUUCAGCGGAUCCUUUGCCAGAACAUACUCCUCCAUCACCAAGAGGGAGAGGUCAACACCUCUGAUCCAGACAGAGCAAUAAACAUUUUAUAAUGUACAAUAAAAGAUUAAAGGCAUUUCUCCUGUGUCCUUGUAACAUCUGAAUUUAGUAAUUAUAUAUUCACCUGCUCCGAGCAGAACACGCACCACAGAACUUGGGGGGGGGGAAUUUCCCUGUAUUUCCCAGGGACUACAACCCAAAAUGUCUGGGUGGAGAAACCCAGGAAGGUUCAGAGUUCGCUGUGGCUGCAGGACAAAAAAAAAACCCCAAAACCUGCACCAUAAAUAGCACCAGAGCCAUACCUAGCAAAAUCCUUCAGCCACGGCUGUUAUCUCCUAAAGAAAGAAACCAGCAUUUGGAAUCCACAGCCCUCUAAAGGGAGAUUUGGG